GAUGAAGAACGCAGCGAAAUGCGAUAAGUAAUGUGAAUUGCAGAAUUCAGUGAAUCAUCGAAUCUUUGAACGCACCUUGCACCCUUUGGCAUUCCGAAGGGUAUGCUCGUUUGAGUGUCAUUGUACUCUCACACUUCCGAUCUUUGGAUUGGGAGCGGUGGACUUGGGUGUUGCUGCUUACUGUGGCUCACCUCAAAUCGAUUCGUGCACCUCUUGGUUGGACAUAGUACGGCGUGAUAAGUGUCUUCGCCGGCACCUCAGUAGAGGGUGGCUGAUCGGGAGCUCUGCUUCAAACCGUCCUCGGACAACAACUGACAACUUGACCUCAAAUCGAGUAGGACUACCCGCUGAACUUAAGCAUAUCAAUAAGCGAGGA
rnacentral:misc_RNA from 1 species